UACGUAGGGUCCAAGCGUUAUCCGGAAUCACUGGGCGUAAAGCGUGCGUAGGCGGGAGUUUAAGUGCAAUGCGAAAUCUUGUGGCUCAACCAUAUAGACUGUAUUGCAUACUGGACACCUAGAGGACGGCAGAGGCAAGUGGAAUUACUGGUGUAGCAGUGAAAUGCGUAGAUAUCAGUAGGAACACCAAUGGCGAAGGCAGCUGCUGGGCCGACCCUGACGCUAAGGCACGAAAGCGUGGGGAGCGAACAGG
rnacentral:rRNA from 1 species